rnacentral:lncRNA from 1 species
UGAAAGAUUGAUACCUCAUUUUUUGUAUUAUGGAAAUAUCACUUUUUUUUUUUGAAAGAAAAUCCCCUUUUUUACAAUUCUGAUUCGGGUUUUAUAACCCUUUUACAUUCAUUUUUUUAUUGUUUCUAUCUCUUCUCUAUUUACUUGCUUGCAGAUGCGGUGGGCAGAGGACAUGAUCGGGGGCGGUGCUGCAGGGGUUGGUGUCAGAAGGCAGAGGCAAGUGGGAGCCAAGGUUUCGG